UAAAGAGCUCCUUUGGUAUGCUUCCGUUGAAGCUGUUACAAGAGAGGUUCAAUAUGUGCAGUUUUUUGCAGUCUCCUAAAGCUUCUGGGAUUGGGCCACUCAAACUGUUUUCUUGUAAGUAAAGCUCACUCAAUUGACUCAAAUUACCAACUGAAAGUGGGAUCUGUCCAGAAAAUUUGUUCUGGGACAAGCUUAAGACAAACAAGUUGGGAAGAUUUCCAAUUGACUCAGGAAGAUUCCCGGCCUGCAACGACACUCGGCAAGACUCCUUGAAGGAUGUUUGCAUCCAAGCGUAAGUUCACCAGUUGUGUGCAAUUUGUCAACGAGGAUAGGAAAGACCAGUCUCCUGCUUCAAGUUGAUUCUUGCCUAGAUUCAGAUCGACUAGGCUGGGUAAAAUCCCAAAAGAUGGAACAAUGCCAUGGAAUGCAUUGUUCCGGAGGUUGAUCACCUGGAGAUUGGUUGUGUUUGCUAGUGAAGUGGGGAUUUGGCCUUGGAACUGGUUUCCUUGCAUAAUCAAAGUUUGGAUGCUUGGAAGGGUGUAUCCGAUGUUGUGUGGAAGCUCCCCUACAAGAUUGUUUGUAGCCAUGCCAAGGUAUGUGAGUGCUGACAUGUUGUAAAGAGAGGCUGGGACACUCCCUGUCAAAAAGUUAUAAGUGAUGUCUAGUAUUUCCAGGUUUCGAAUUUCAUCUAUACUCAUGGGGAUGUUACCUUGGAAAUUAUUAUCUCCAAGCAAGAGCCAGCGAAGGGAGGAAAAGUUCCCUAUAAAGGAAGGUAUGGUGCCAGAAAGAUUAUUUGAUUGCAAGAUAAGAUACUGCAAGGGUGAGUCAAUGUUCAACAAGGCUGGUAUGGACCCAGCAAAGCUGUUUGUUCCCAGUAAUAACUUUUGGAGUGAUGUACUGUUAAACAGUGCAGGAGGAAUCUCUCCACUCAGGUGAUUGUUUGAUAAGGCCAAAAGUUGAAGUGAGGAACUAUUAGCUAGGAGAGGCGGGAUAGGUCCUGUGAGGCUAUUGUUCGUGAGAACAACAGAGUGAAGAGAAGAGCUGCUUCCAAGUGAACGUGGAAUGCUGCCCGUCAGACUAUUUGUAGCAAGACGUAAAACUGCAAGGUUUCGGAGCAUCCCCAACCCUUCUGGGAUACCUCCACUGAGCUUGUUGUGACCCAAACUGAGCUGCUGCAUAUCUGAGCAUUGGCUUAGGCUUGGGGGGAUCACACCAUCAAGGGAGUUGCUUCCAAGAUCAAUAGUUUGAAGGUGAACGCAUGAAGACAGAGUGCUUGGGAUCCUGCCAGUAAGAUUGUUUGUGCUGAGGUUAAGGUACCGCAGCCUAUUUAGUUGCCCAAGUUCAGGUGGUAUUUGGCCAGUAAGUUGAUUGUUGGGGAUGUGGAUUUUUGUGAGGAAAGUGAGAUUGCCGAUACAUGGUGGUAUCUGUCCAUCGAGGUCAAGUGACUCGAGGUCCAGUGCAAUGACACGAGAUGCAUGUCUCUUGCUGCAAGUAACACCGGACCAACUGCAGAACUGCAGCGAGUCAUUUUUCCAUGAGACCAGGAGUCCAGCAGAGGUCGUGAGAUGGAGUUUAAGGCAGCAGAGAGCAUGGAGGUCGGUGUUAGAAUCAUUUUGGGGUGCUAUAGAAUCUAAUGAAGAUGCAUAAACAAGGGAGCAGAGGACAAGGACCAGGGGAAGUGAGGAACUGAGAGUGCCCAGAGCCUGAGGAGACAUGUAAUUUCUAUCACACACACGCUUCGACAGUUUAGUCGAUGAACGGACUGACGACUGGUCAAGCUCGUGGAACAAGAAGGCAAUGGAGAACUCACUUGGGAGCUGCAAUGCGCGGUGGCCGUCCUCUCGCGACACCCCGGGAUGGAGUUUAAGGCACUGAAGGGCUUGCGAGUCGGUCUGAGAAUCAUUCUGUAGAGCUGCAGCACCUAAUAAAGGCGGCCUUGUGUUGAAUAAUCAACCAGGCCUUCAGCCAAUCAAACACUAGUUUAAGUUAUUCUUCCAAUUCAACUUUGAGAUAGUCAAAUUACAUGAUGGUCAAAUGGACAAUUUUUCAUAUUUAUAUUCUACUGUACUGUGUAAAGACGUAUACAAAGGCACCACUUGCUGGUGGGGGUUGGAAGUUGGAGUCCAAACUACAUGAUGCAUGAAUUAAGGAAUCCAAAUAAGACCAUUUCAA